CCUACGGGUGGCAGCAGUGGGGAAUAUUGGACAAUGGGGGGAACCCUGAUCCAGCGACGCCGCGUGAGUGAAGAAGUAUUUCGGUAUGUAAAGCUCUAUCAGCAGGGAAGAAAGAAAUGACGGUACCUGACUAAGAAGCCCCGGCUAACUACGUGCCAGCAGCCGCGGUAAUACGUAGGGGGCAAGCGUUAUCCGGAUUUACUGGGUGUAAAGGGAGCGUAGACGGUUACGCAAGUCUGGAGUGAAAGGCUGGGGCCAAACCCCCGGACUGCUUUGGAAACUGUAUAACUGGAGUGCAGGAGAGGUAAGUGGAAUUCCUAGUGUAGCGGUGAAAUGCGUAGAUAUUAGGAGGAACACCAGUGGCGAAGGCGGCUUACUGGACUGUAACUGACGUUGAGGUUCGAAAGCGUGGGGAGCAAACAGGAUUAGAUACCCUGGU
rnacentral:rRNA from 1 species